rnacentral:lncRNA from 1 species
GGGUGCUGUAUUAGUGAAGGAGGAGGUUUUAUUGAGGAAGGGGGUGCUGUAUUAGUGAAGGAGGAGGUUUUGUUGAGGAAGGGGGUGCUGUAUUAGCGAAGGAGGAGGUUUUGUUGAGGAAGGGGGUGCUGUAUUAGCGAAGGAGGAGGGUUUGUUGAUGAAGGGGUGCUGUAUUAGUAAAGGAGGAGGUUUUGUUGAGGAAGGGGGUGCUGUAUUAUUGAAGGAGGAGGGUUUGUUGAGGAAUGGGGUGCUGUAUUAGUGAAGGAGGAGGUUUUGUUGAGGAAUGGGGUGCUGUAUUAGUGAAGGAGGAGGUUUUAUUGAGGAAGGGGGUGCUGUAUUAGUGAAGGAGGAGGUUUUGUUGAUGAAGGGGGUGCUGUAUUAGUGAAGGAGGAGGUUUUAUU